rnacentral:rRNA from 1 species
CUUCAUCAUCCGCUCGUGGGAUGUGUCUUCUCCCGCACCAUCUGGCAUGAGGGCCUGGCCUGGUGUCGCAUGACCAUGGAACCCCCGGACGACACGCUCAACUUCUUCGAGUGGUGGAUGACCGCCACACCUAGUGUGCCCACUUGCCUUCGCAAAGGUCUUUAUACCAUGAUCAUCCUCACAGCUUGGGCCAUUUGGAAGCACCAAAACGCGGCACUCUUCGACGCUGCCACCCCAUCCUCAACCAAACUUAUCAACGACAUCAAGCAGGAAGCUACACUAUGGGCUAGAGCCGGCGCCAAAGGGCUCGAAAGAACACUCCGUGUAACCUGA